GGCCUUAUAGCUCAAUGGUUAGAGCGUCUGUCAGGUUAUCAGAGGGUAUAUAUAUGUGGUUCGAUUCCCGUUAGGGCUC